GAUGAACGCUGGCGGCGUGCCUAAUACAUGCAAGUCGAGCGAACGGACGAGAAGCUUGCUUCUCUGAUGUUAGCGGCGGACGGGUGAGUAACACGUGGAUAACCUACCUAUAAGACUGGGAUAACUUCGGGAAACCGGAGCUAAUACCGGAUGAUAUUUUGAACCGCAUGGUUCAAAAGUGAAAGACGGUCUUGCUGUCACUUAUAGAUGGAUCCGCGCUGCAUUAGCUAGUUGGUAAGGUAACGGCUUACCAAGGCAACGAUGCAUAGCCGACCUGAGAGGGUGAUCGGCCACACUGGAACUGAGACACGGUCCAGACUCCUACGGGAGGCAGCAGUAGGGAAUCUUCCGCAAUGGGCGAAAGCCUGACGGAGCAACGCCGCGUGAGUGAUGAAGGUCUUCGGAUCGUAAAACUCUGUUAUUAGGGAAGAACAUAUGUGUAAGUAACUGUGCACAUCGUGACGGUACCAAAUCAGAAAGCCACGGCUAACUACGUG
rnacentral:rRNA from 1 species